rnacentral:sRNA from 1 species
CCCGGUGCUUAGGCACCGGGCUAUUGUCGGUCGUGCCUACGGCACU